rnacentral:rRNA from 1 species
GGGUUGUGAGGUUAAGCGACUAAGCGUACACGGUGGAUGCCCUGGCAGUCAGAGGCGAUGAAGGACGUGCUAAUCUGCGAAAAGCGUCGGUAAGGUGAUAUGAACCGUUACAGCCGGCGAUGUCCGAAUGGGGAAACCCAGUGCAAUUCGUUGCACUAUCGUUAACUGAAUACAUAGGUUAACGAGGCGAACCGGGGGAACUGAAACAUCUAAGUACCCCGAGGAAAAGAAAUCAACCGAGAUUCCCCCAGUAGCGGCGAGCGAACGGGGAGCAGCCCAGAGUCUGAAUCAGCUUGUGUGUUAGUGGAACGGUCUGGAAAGUCCGACGGUACAGGGUGAUAGUCCCGUACACCAAAAUGCACAGGUUGUGAACUCGAAGAGUAGGGCGGGACACGUGGUAUCCUGUCUGAAUAUGGGGGGACCAUCCUCCAAGGCUAAAUACUCCUGACUGACCGAUAGUGAACCAGUACCGUGAGGGAAAGGCGAAAAGAACCCCGGCGAGGGGAGUGAAAAAGAACCUGAAACCGUGUACGUACAAGCAGUGGGAGCACCUUCGGGUGUGACUGCGUACCUUUUGUAUAAUGGGUCAGCGACUUAUAUUCUGUAGCAAGGUUAACCGUAUAGGGGAGCCGCAGGGAAACCGAGUCUUAACUGGGCGUUAAGUUGCAGGGUAUAGACCCGAAACCCGGUGAUCUAGCCAUGGGCAGGUUGAAGGUUGGGUAACACUAACUGGAGGACCGAACCGACUAAUGUUGAAAAAUUAGCGGAUGACUUGUGGCUGGGGGUGAAAGGCCAAUCAAACCGGGAGAUAGCUGGUUCUCCCCGAAAGCUAUUUAGGUAGCGCCUCGUGAACUCAUCUUCGGGGGUAGAGCACUGUUUCGGCUAGGGGGUCAUCCCGACUUACCAACCCGAUGCAAACUACGAAUACCGAAGAAUGUUAUCACGGGAGACACACGGCGGGUGCUAACGUCCGUCGUGAAGAGGGAAACAACCCAGACCGCCAGCUAAGGUCCCAAAGUCAUGGUUAAGUGGGAAACGAUGUGGGAAGGCACAGACAGCCAGGAUGUUGGCUUAGAAGCAGCCAUCAUUUAAAGAAAGCGUAAUAGCUCACUGGUCGAGUCGGCCUGCGCGGAAGAUGUAACGGGGCUAAACCAUGCACCGAAGCUGCGGCAGCGACACUAUGUGUUGUUGGGUAGGGGAGCGUUCUGUAAGCCUGCGAAGGUGUGCUGUGAGGCAUGCUGGAGGUAUCAGAAGUGCGAAUGCUGACAUAAGUAACGAUAAAGCGGGUGAAAAGCCCGCUCGCCGGAAGACCAAGGGUUCCUGUCCAACGUUAAUCGGGGCAGGGUGAGUCGACCCCUAAGGCGAGGCCGAAAGGCGUAGUCGAUGGGAAACAGGUUAAUAUUCCUGUACUUGGUGUUACUGCGAAGGGGGGACGGAGAAGGCUAUGUUAGCCGGGCGACGGUUGUCCCGGUUUAAGCAUGUAGGCUGAUUGUCCAGGCAAAUCCGGAUAAUCAAGGCUGAGGUGUGAUGACGAGGCACUACGGUGCUGAAGUAACAAAUGCCCUGCUUCCAGGAAAAGCCUCUAAGCAUCAGGUAACAUCAAAUCGUACCCCAAACCGACACAGGUGGUCAGGUAGAGAAUACCAAGGCGCUUGAGAGAACUCGGGUGAAGGAACUAGGCAAAAUGGUGCCGUAACUUCGGGAGAAGGCACGCUGGUGUGUAGGUGAAGUCCCUGCGGAUGGAGCUGAGACCAGUCGAAGAUACCAGCUGGCUGCAACUGUUUAUUAAAAACACAGCACUGUGCAAACACGAAAGUGGACGUAUACGGUGUGACGCCUGCCCGGUGCCGGAAGGUUAAUUGAUGGGGUUAUCCGUAAGGAGAAGCUCUUGAUCGAAGCCCCGGUAAACGGCGGCCGUAACUAUAACGGUCCUAAGGUAGCGAAAUUCCUUGUCGGGUAAGUUCCGACCUGCACGAAUGGCGUAAUGAUGGCCAGGCUGUCUCCACCCGAGACUCAGUGAAAUUGAACUCGCUGUGAAGAUGCAGUGUACCCGCGGCAAGACGGAAAGACCCCGUGAACCUUUACUAUAGCUUGACACUGAACAUUGAGCCUUGAUGUGUAGGAUAGGUGGGAGGCUUUGAAGCGUGGACGCCAGUCUGCGUGGAGCCAACCUUGAAAUACCACCCUUUAAUGUUUGAUGUUCUAACGUUGGCCCCUGACCGGGGUUGCGGACAGUGUCUGGUGGGUAGUUUGACUGGGGCGGUCUCCUCCCAAAGCGUAACGGAGGAGCACGAAGGUUAGCUAAUCCUGGUCGGACAUCAGGAGGUUAGUGCAAUGGCAUAAGCUAGCUUGACUGCGAGCGUGACGGCGCGAGCAGGUGCGAAAGCAGGUCAUAGUGAUCCGGUGGUUCUGAAUGGAAGGGCCAUCGCUCAACGGAUAAAAGGUACUCCGGGGAUAACAGGCUGAUACCGCCCAAGAGUUCAUAUCGACGGCGGUGUUUGGCACCUCGAUGUCGGCUCAUCACAUCCUGGGGCUGAAGUAGGUCCCAAGGGUAUGGCUGUUCGCCAUUUAAAGUGGUACGCGAGCUGGGUUUAGAACGUCGUGAGACAGUUCGGUCCCUAUCUGCCGUGGGCGCUGGAGAAUUGAGGGGGGCUGCUCCUAGUACGAGAGGACCGGAGUGGACGCAUCACUGGUGUUCGGGUUGUCAUGCCAAUGGCACUGCCCGGUAGCUAAAUGCGGAAGAGAUAAGUGCUGAAAGCAUCUAAGCACGAAACUUGCCCCGAGAUGAGUUCUCCCUGAGACUAUAAGUCUCCUGAAGGAACGUUAAAGACGAUGACGUUGAUAGGCCGGGUGUGUAAGCGCAGCGAUGCGUUGAGCUAACCGGUACUAAUGAACCGUGAGGCUUAACCUUACAACGCCGAAG